ACGGUUUUCAAGAUUGUGGUUGCAAAAUGGCCGGUGGAUAGUACGGAGAAAGAAUCGACACGUUUUUUCCCUGAUCUCCGGGGUUUUGACAUUGUUCGGGCGGCAUCUUCGUCAAAAACCAGAAUGGUGCUUUCAGCUGCCGAGAGGGCUAAGAAUUACCGGGAACGGAUGAAGAGGGACCCUGCAGAGUAUGAAUAGAAGAAAUUUUUCAUAGUUUGUAUUGGUAUAAUACAUGUAUAACACAAACUUGUUUGUGUGCUUAAUCACAAUGUUGGAAACAUUUCAGAUGUUCUAGUUUGUUUUGAGAUUAAAACUUCUUAACAUGUGUCCUUAUUCAAUGAUUUCAAAUCAAGUCAUGAAUUUUUGUAAAGACUACAAUUUUGGCAGUCUGGAACUGUGAAUAUUUUUAAAUUUCACUUCAAAUUUAUAAAACUGCAUUAUGGUUACAAUAAUCAGUGAAAUUUUAAUUCAAUUCUUCCAUCUAGUUAGAGAUAUUUUAUGAUGGGUUGUUCUACGUUUGAUGUUACAGGUGAAAAUUGUUGCAGAGUAUGAAUUGAUUUUUUUUUUCAUAGUUUGUAUUGGUUUAAUAGUAUAAGACAGACUUGUUUGUGUGCUUACACAAUAUUGGAAACAUUUCAGAUGUUCUAGCUUGUUUUGAGAUUAAAACUUCUCAACAUGUGUCCUUAUUGAUUUCUUAUGAAGUCAUGAAUAAUUGUAAAGACUUUAAACAUUUUGACAGUCUUGAAUUAGUAUGAUAUUGAAUAUUUUCACAUUUCACCUCAAAUUUAUAGGAUUGCAUUAUGGUUACAAUAAUUAAAUGACACUUUAACUGAUAUCUUA